rnacentral:rRNA from 1 species
UAGGGAACCUUCUGCAAUGGGCGAAAGCCUGACGGAGCAACGCCGCGUGAGUGAAGAAGGAUUUCGGUUCGUAAAGCUCCGUUGUUAGGGAAGAAUGAUUAUGUAGUAACUAUACAUAGUAGAGACGGUACCUAACCAGAAAGCCACGGCUAACUACGUGCCAGCAGCCGCGGUAAUACGUAGGUGGCAAGCGUUGUCCGGAAUUAUUGGGCGUAAAGCGCGCGCAGGUGGUUUAAUAAGUCUGAUGUGAAAGCCCACGGCUCAACCGUGGAGGGUCAUUGGAAACUGUUAAACUUGAGUGCAGGAGAGAAAAGUGGAAUUCCUAGUGUAGCGGUGAAAUGCGUAGAGAUUAGGAGGAACACCAGUGGCGAAGGCGGCUUUUUGGCCUGUAACUGACACUGAGGCGCGAAAGCGUGGGGAGCAAACAGGAUUAGAUACCCUGGUAGUCCACGCCGUAAACGAUGAGUGCUAAGUGUUGGUCUCAUAAGAGAUCAGUGCUGCAGCUAACGCAUUAAGCACUCCGCCUGGGGAGUACGACCGCAAGGUUG